UUGCCACCACAAAUGGUGGGCGCUGCCUUAUCUACUCUCCUCUCUCUCGCAUCUUUCACUACUGCUCUCCCAGCUUCACAUCUCUUUUUCCCUUCUCUCUCCAAGAGCCGCAGUGCGAGGCCAGCAACCAGCAGGGCCCGACGUGGGUGGGCGGCGAGAGGACGGUGACCAGCGGGGCCCGACACAGGCGGGUGGCAAGCGCCAGCGACCGACGGGGCCCAACGCGGACGGGCGGCGUGAGGGCGAGCGGUGCAAGGCCAGCGACCGGCAGGCCCCGACGCGGGCAGCCGGCUCAAGGACGAGCGGUGCGAGGGCCGACGUCCAGAUGCGAGUGGUGCGAGGGCCGGCUCUCAUGGAGGAACGGCGAGGAGCUGUGGCGUUACAUGUUGCGGUCAGCGGAGCUGUCAGCUGCUCUCGGCAGUGGAGGGACGGGCGGCGCGGCGACGCUGUAGAAUUUGUUUUUGUGCCGUGCAACGCUGCUGCUGGCGGCUGUGGCCAUUGGUGGCAUUUUUUUUUUACCGUGGAGAAGCAGUGCUGGCGGGUGAUGUAAGCACCUAUCAGCACAAGAUGUAUUUGUAUUGGUGGUUGGACACCCGUCAGCACAAAUCACCAUUUCUAUUGACUCAAGCUUGCUGGCGGGCGCUCAAACCGCCAGCGCAGACACGUUUUGACUGCCAGAAAAGUGCAGACACGUUUUGACUGCCAGAAUGGCGUAGUGAAUUUUCGAUAAAAAUGGAACCACUCGAUUCGUAUUUGAGUGUAGUUUCUUCCUUAA